rnacentral:rRNA from 1 species
ACUUCGGGAAACCGGAGCUAAUACCGGAUAAUAUAUUGAACCGCAUGGUUCAAUAGUGAAAGAAGGUUUUGCUGUCACUUAUAGAUGGAUCCGCGCCGCAUUAGCUAGUUGGUAAGGUAACGGCUUACCAAGGCAACGAUGCGUAGCCGACCUGAGAGGGUGAUCGGCCACACUGGAACUGAGACACGGUCCAG